ACGGGAGGCAGCAGUGGGGAAUAUUGGGCAAUGGGCGAAAGCCUGACCCAGCAACGCCGCGUGAAGGAAGAAGGUCUUCGGAUUGUAAACUUCUUUUAUGUGGGACGAACAAAUGACGGUACCACAUGAAUAAGCCACGGCUAACUACGUGCCAGCAGCCGCGGUAAUACGUAGGUGGCAAGCGUUAUCCGGAUUUACUGGGUGUAAAGGGCGCGUAGGCGGGGAAGCAAGUCAGAUGUGAAAUCCAUGGGCUCAACCCAUGAACUGCAUUUGAAACUGUUUCUCUUGAGUGCUGGAGAGGUAGAUGGAAUUCCUAGUGUAGCGGUGAAAUGCGUAGAUAUUAGGAAGAACACCAGUGGCGAAGGCGACUUGCUGGACCGCAACUGACGCUGAGGCUCGAGAGCGUGGGGAGCAAACAGGAUUAGAUACCCUGGUA
rnacentral:rRNA from 1 species